rnacentral:rRNA from 1 species
UCGCCUGUUUUAUCAAAAACAUAGCCCCUUGAAAUUAUAAAGGGUUAAGCCUGCCCAAUGGAAAAUUCUUAAUGGCCGCGGUAUCUUGACCGUGCAAAGGUAGCAUAAUCAUUUGUUUCUUAAAUAGAAACUUGUAUGAAUGGCACCACAUUCUCUAACUGUCUCCUCUUUAUACUUUUUAAACUUCUACUAACGUGAAGAAGCGUUAACAAAAAAGAAAGACGAGAAGACCCUGUCGAGCUUAAACUCCUAAUGGAAAUACAGUAUAUAAAUUACUAAUUAAUCUAAAUAGAAGUUUUGGUUGGGGCAACCAUGGAGUAUAAAAAGCCUCCAGACUUAUAAAAAGAUUUUUUAUCCUUUAUUAAUUUUACAGAUCCAGAAAUACUGGCAAACAGAAAUAGUUACCGCAGGGAUAACAGCGUUAUCUCCUUUAAGAGUCCAUAUUGACAAGGAGGAUUGCGACCUCGAUGUUGGAUUAGGGUAACCAAAGGGUGCAGCAGCUCUUUAGGUUGGACUGUUCGUCCAAUAAUCCCCUACGUGAUCU